UUUGCUCUUGCACCGAGAGACACCACCAUCACUUUCACCACUCUCCGUCACCACAUCGUGCUUCAAACCUUCAUAACCUGCAUCUGUGCAUUUUUUACAGAUUCUGGUGCUCUUCUCCAUGUAAACUCCGACGGGUUUGUGGGUUCUAGAGCUCCGGCUCAGUUCCAAUCCAUUCCAGCAGAGAGAAAAAGGGAGAAAGAGAGAAUCCCACCUACAAUUCCAAAGACGAACGCCACGAUUCUCUAUGUUCAAUGGCUUGAUUGAGUUCAGAACUUCAGAGGAUCACCAUUCUGCUAUCUCAUCCGCACUCAAAUCUCUCUUUCCACUGCUAUGAAACAAGCCGAGCCAGGUUUAACUCCGACCUACACACAAACGAAGCCCAAGAUUUUGCAUGGAUGUUGAGAUACUGAAAAGUGAUCGAAUUUGAGAGGUGGGUUUAUCGGGGAUUGAGGUUCUGCG
rnacentral:lncRNA from 1 species